CAGCAGCAGCCGCGGGAAUACGGAGGGCGCGAGCGUUACCCGGAUUUACUGGGCGUAAAGGGCGUGUAGGCGGCCUGGGACGUCCCAUGUGAAAGGCCACGGCUCAACCGUGGAGGAGCGUGGGAUACGCUCAGGCUAGAGGGUGGGAGAGAGUGGUGGAAUUCCCGGAGUAGCGGUGAAAAGCGCAGAUACCGGGAGGAACGCCGAUGGCGAAGGCAGCCACCUGGUCCACUUCUGACGCUGAGGCGCGAAAGCGUGGGGAGCAAACCGGAUUAGAUACCCGGGUAGUCCCUGUCUCUUAUAC
rnacentral:rRNA from 1 species